AGGAGGCGACGAGUCGUGCGGUCAGGACGUUCUUCCAGACUGGAGAGAGGAUCGCACUUCCGGAAGAGGAGCCACCUAGGCCGGGGCCGACUCCAGUGUGCCCAUCGAGGGAAGCUUUCGCGGCCACAUACUACGCACGGACUCCGGGCACGGGAAGUUCGCGGAACCGACCCUC